AGAGUUUGAUCCUGGCUCAGGAUGAACGCUGGCGGCGUGCCUUAGGCAUGCAAAUCAAGGGGGGUCCCGAUUUAUCGGGAUCAACCGGUGGACGGGUGAGUAACGAGUGAGAAUCUACCUUAAAGAGGGGCAUAGCUUGUCGAAAGACGAGGUAAUUUCCCAUGUGAUCGCAAGAUUAAAGCCGCAAGGCGCUUUAAGAUGAGCUCGCUUCCUAUCAGCUUGUUGGUGGGGUAAUGGCCUACCAAGGCAACGACGGGUAGCUGGUCUGAGAGGAUGGUCAGCCACAAUGGGACUGCGACACGGCCCAUACAUCUACGGAUGGCAGCAACCGGGAAUAUUGGACAAUGGACGAAAGUCUGAUCCAGCGACGCCGCGUGGAGGAUUGAAGGCCUUCGGGUUGUAAACUCCUUUUAUGUGGGAAGAUUAUGACGGUACCACAAGAAUAAGCACCUGCUAACUACGUGCCAGAAGCCUCGGUAAUACGUAGGGUGCAAGCGUUAUCCGGAUUCAUUGGGCGUAAAGAGUUGCGUAGGCGGACUGUUACAUCUUGUUGUAAAGCCCACGGCUUAACCGUGGUCUCUGGCAGGAUAUGGGCAGACUAGAGAAAAAGAUAGGGUACUGGAACCGAUGGUGAAGCAGUGAAAUGCGUUGAUAUCAUCGGGAACACCAAAGGCGUAGGCAGGUACCUGGCUUUUUUCUGACGCUGAGGCACGAAAGCUAGGUUCGCGAAGCAGAUUAGAGACCUGCGUAGUCCUAGCCGUAAACUAUCCUUGCUAGAUACCGGGGGUUUCUUCGGUGUCGUAAGCUAACGCGUUAAGCAAGGCGCCUGGGGAGUACGAGCGCAAGCUUAAAACUCAAAGGAAUUGACGGGGAGGCGCACAAGCAGUGGAGCGUGUGGUUUAAUUCGAAACAAAGCGAAAAACCUCACCAGGGUUUGACAUGCAAUUGCUAAGCCUAUGAAAGUAGGCCUCCUUCGAGGGUAUUGCACAGAUGCUGCAUGGCUGUCGUCAGCUCGUGGCGUGGGAUCUGGAAAAAGAUCAAUCGCGCCCGUUGACAGCAAUGUCAAAUGGAAAAUUCGGCUCAUAUCGGUGAAUCUAUUUAUAUUCGGGUUUAUUUCGGAUAUAAUUGAAAUACCGAGGGAAGUCGGGAAGAAUGAUUUUCACUGCUCGUAAGAACUUAAAGCUUGAAGUUUCCAACAGACAAGUAGAAAUCUUAAUUGGCUGUUUGCUAGGUGAUGCUUAUCUAACUAAAUUAGGUAAAAUUCAAAUUGAACAAUCAGACAAACAAAGAGAGUAUAUUUAUUGGAAGCAUUCAGAGCUUGCCUCGAUAAGC
rnacentral:rRNA from 1 species